rnacentral:rRNA from 1 species
ACUCCUACGGGAGGCAGCAGUGGGGAAUAUUGGACAAUGGGGGGAACCAUGAUCCAGCGACGCCGCGUGAGUGAAGAAGUAUUUCGGUAUGUAAAGCUCUAUCAGCAGGGAAGAAAAUGACGGUACCUGACUAAG